GGGCCCGCACAAGCGGUGGAGCAUGUGGUUUAAUUCGAUGCAACGCGAAGAACCUUACCUACUCUUGACAUACUUGGAAGCUCUUGUAAUGAGAGUGUGCCUUUUGGAACCAAGAUACAGGUGCUGCAUGGCUGUCGUCAGCUCGUGUCGUGAGAUGUUCCGUUAAGUCGGAUAACGAGCGCAACCCUUACCCUUAUUUGCCAGCGAUUCGGUCGGGAACUAUAAGGGGACUGCCGGUGAUAAACCGGAGGAAGGUGAGGACGACGUCAAGUCAUCAUGGCCCUUACGAGUAGGGCUACACACGUGCUACAAUGGGGAAUACAGACGGACGCUAAGCCGCGAGGGGGAGC
rnacentral:rRNA from 1 species